GAUUUUGAGCAUGUUCAUGCAUCACGAAUGCCAUAAGAUAAAUUAGGUUGUUUGCAUUAGAAUUCACGAAUAUGUUGCAUUGCAUAAUGUGAUGAUGAUGUGGAUGGGUAUUGGAUGAUCCUUUAGUCCUCAUAUGAUAUGAUAUGAUGUGUUAUGAUAUGGUAUGGUAUGGAAGUCCAGGUCGAGGCCCAUUCUACGCCCCUGGCACUAUGUUAAGAGAAAGACCAGGUCGAGGCCCAUUCUACGCCCCUGGCAUUAUAGGAAUGUUAUGUUAUGUAUGUUAUGUUAAGAGAAAGACGAGGACGAGGCCUAUUCUACGCCCCUAGCACUAUUGGAUAGGUAGAGGACUAUUGGUGACAAAACCAUCCUUGAUGUUAUUUGUUUGUGAUGAGAUGCAUUCCAUUAAAGCAUGAAUUUUAAAUAUAAUGUUUUAUUAUUCUGCUCACUGGGCUCUAGUAGCUCACCCCAUUUCCCUAAUCCCCCAGGUAUGCAGGUACGGGAUAGGCCUAGAGGUCAAGAAGAGUAAAGUUAUAUUUUAUGUAAUAGUUAGCUGUGGACAUGAGAAUGAUGUAAUGUAUAAUAAUGUAAUGUAACGAUGUCUAUUGAGGUUUAUAGUUGUGCUUGACCCUAGUAUGUUAGUUAAUCCCUUUGUACAUGAUCUAUAAAAUGUUUUAUCACUGUUUAUGUAAACCAAACUUAUUAUAUGUAUGUUACCCCAUUGGAGCAUUGGUGAGGACUUUAAUGUGGGGUUGAUGGUUAUGCUUAUGAGUUGUGCAUGCACAGGUUGAGUUUGGUAAAUGAAUGAGAAAAGUUCAAAAUUUUUAUGUAUAUGUUGAUCACGUAUGGGAUUAAACAGGUGUACAGGUUGUAUGUUAGGCUUGCUACGGGUCCCGGCGGCCUUAAGUCGAUCUGGAUCCUAGUGCCUGUAGCGGUCCGAUUUUCGGGUCGUUACAGAGUGGUAUUAGAGCCCUAGGUUCAUAUGGUCGGACCUAGAGUGUCGGGCUUAUAGAUGUUCUAGAAGGUCAAGCACAAUAGGAAAAUCAUGUCCACUAGGAUUGGAUGUAGAGUCAUGUCUUGAAUGAUGAUGUGAAAUGCCAUGAUUUUAUGCAUGUGCAUUGAUGAUAUGCUAUGUAUGUGAUGGAUGUAUGUGGGUUCAUGUGUUUGCACAUGAACCAUUUGAUACUAACGUCUUAUGUGAUGUGUGCUGUUUUUCAGUAAGCAAGAUGAGAGGAACUCGUCGAUCUGCACGAUUGACUGGAGUACCACCUCAGGACGAGGGCACGGAUGCCCGUCCUCCUGCAUUGCCUAGGGCAAUGUCCUGCAGGUCUAGCAGGGAGAGAACAUCAAGGGACCCUAGAAGGUCUUUGAUGUGAGCAGAAGAGGAACAGUGCAAGGUGGAAUGUCGAAAGAUGUGGGGAAUGAUAUGGAUGUGGACUAGAGGAGGGAUGGCAGUCUUGGAGUGAGUAUGUCUGAAGAGGGCAUGGGAGAGUCUCAGGGAGGCACUCAGGCCUCAGGACUUGUUCAGCCACCCCAGUACUCACCCUUUUCACAGAAUCCCGGGUAUUCGAUGGGAGGUACAUCGGAUUACCCCAGCUUUAACCCUUAUCACUCUCACAUGCCAUACCCACCUUUCUACCCACCAUACCCAUAGUACCCUAUGUACCCACCCCCAUCUUUCUACCCAGGUACAGCAAACCCUAACCCAGGGGAUGUUGCACCUCCUCCACUACCAGCAGAACCUACUGUCCUAGAAACUCAAGUACCUAAACCUAGCUCAUCUGGAGGGAGCAAGGUCAAGAUGACCGAUUACAUGAAGCUGGGUGCUCCCCAGUAUGAAACAGGUGAUGACCCAUUUGAGUACCUUGGGAGGGUCAAGAUGAUUACAGAUGAGAUAGGAGCUGAUGACAGUAGAGCCAUUCAGAUGGCUGGGUUCACAUUGAAGUGCAAGAAGGCCCGAGAGUGGUUCAAAUACUAUGUGAACCCGAGAUUGGAUAGCCUAUCAUGGGAAGAGUUUGCUAAUGAGUUUACAGGAUGGGCUUUCCCUGACAGUUCAAGGGAGUUAAAGAUGAUCGAAUUUGAGCAGUUGAGGCAGACAGAGGAUAUGAGUGUAGAGGAGUUCACAGACAGGUUCUUAGAGCUGUUGCCAUUUGCAAGGCAGACCCUUGAUACAGAUCAGAAAAAGGCUAGGAGGUAUAUCAUGAAGCUUCAUUCCAGGUAUUCCUCCUUGAUCCAAUCAGUAGAUCGGGAGAGCUUCCAUGCCAUAGUAGAUAUGGCCCGGAAAAUGGAGGCUAGUGCCAUCAUUCAGGGAACAGUUAAGCAGACAGUGGCACAACCCUCUGGUUCCAAGACCCCAGGUGGGAAAGGUUAGACCCUUCUUCUAUGAGUGCAGAAGCUUUAGGUAGUAAAAAGUGGGGUAAGGCCAAGUCUAAGAAGAACAAGUUCUGGAAUAAGAUCAAGUCAGGUCUGGAAUUAGGGAGUGGCUCGAGCUCAGGUGCAGAUAAUGCAGUAUGCAUGAAGUGUGGGAAGCCGCACAAGGGAGUAUGUCGGUUUGGGACGACAGCCUGCUUCAGAUGUGGGCAGGAGGGACACAUGGCACGGGAGUGUCCCAGAGCAGCUUUUGUGCCACAGUCUCAGCAGACAGCUUCUAAUAGUGUGGCUCAGCCAAUAGCUCUAGCCAAUAGCUCCAGCCGCGACUCAGGCCAGUAGCAGAGGCAGAGGGAGAGGGUCAGCCUCUUCUUCAGCGGGUUUCAGGGGUGAAGGUCCAUCAGCUCCAGCACGGAUCUUCACGAUGACUCAGCAGGAGGCAAAUGCAUCCAACACCGUGGUGUCAGGUAAUCUCAUCAUUGGUUGUUCAGAUGUUUAUGCCUUAAUGGACCCUGGUGCAUCUCAUUCUUUCAUUGCUCCGAGAGCCGUCGAGAGGUUGGGUUUGAUGGUCUCUGGAUUAGAGUGUCCCCUAUGGGUCAGUGGACCCAAGUGCGACCCAUCAGUGGCAGAGUCAGUCUGCCAGUGUAGUCCAGUUUUUGUUGAGGGGAGAUGCCUUUCAGCCGACCUUGUGGUUCUAGAUUUGACAGAUUUUGACGUCAUUCUAGGGAUGGAUUGGCUAUGUACCCAUGGUGCUACCUUGGACUGCAGAGACAAGGUAGUCAGGUUCAGAGGUCAGGAUGGGUCAGAGGUUGUCUUCAGAGGAGACAGGAGGGGUACACCUAGAGGUUUGAUAUCAGCUCUACAGGCUCGUAGGCUGCUCAGGAGGGGUUGUCAGGGUUUUCUGGCUCAUGUGAGAGAGCUGGAUAGUCAUGUUAGAGAGCCCACCUCAGUGCCCGUGGUCAGAGAGUUUUUAGACGUCUUUCCAGACGAGCUGCCAGGUUUACCACCUGCUAGGGAGAUAGAGUUCGAAAUAGAGUUGAUGCCUGGAACCAGACCGAUCUCUAUCCCUCCCUACAGGAUGGCACCAGCUGAAUUGAAGGAGCUUAAAGAGCAGUUGCAAGAGUUGGUAGAUAAGGGCUUCAUCCGACCGAGUACCUCACCUUGGGGUGCUCCAGUGCUGUUUGUGAGAAAGAAGGAUGGAUCCCUCAGACUUUGUAUCGACUUCAGGCAGUUGAACAAGGUCACUACCAAUAAUAAGUACCCGUUGCCAAGGAUCGACGAUCUAUUCGACCAGCUAGCAGGAGCAGGUUGUUUCUCCAAGAUAGAUCUGAGAUCCGAGUACCAUUAGCUGAGGAUAAGAGAAGAGGAUGUGCCGAAGACGGCGUUCAGAACCAGAUAUGGGCACUAUGAGUUCCUUGUGAUGCCGUUCGGGUUAACCAAUGCCCCUGCAGCAUUCAUGGAUCUCAUGAACAGAGUUUUCAGUCAGUAUCUGGAUCACUUUGUUAUUGUCUUCAUAGAUGAUAUCUUAGUGUACUCCAGGAAUGCAGAGGAGCAUGCCCAUCAUCUGAGGUUAGUUCUGCAGACCUUGAGGGAACACAACUUGUAUGGCAAGUUCUCCAAGUGUGAGUUCUGGCUGAGGAGCAUCUCUUUCUUGGGGCAUGUUGUGUUAGAAAAUGGAAUCGAGGUGGACCCCAAGAAAGUAGAAGCCGUAGCUAACUGGCCUAGACCCACUACAGUGACAGAGAUCAAGAGCUUCUUGGGUUUGGCAGGUUACUACAGGAGGUUCGUUCAGGACUUCUCUAAGAUUGCAGCUCCUAUGACCAGACUGACUAAGAAGAAUCAGAGGUUUGUGUGGACUGACCAGUGUGAAGAAAGCUUUGAAGAACUAAAGAAGAGGUUGACGUCGACACCAGUGUUAGCUCUGCCAACUAGUAAUGAAGACUUCACGGUUUUCUGUGAUGCGUCCUGUGUGGGACUGGGUUGUGUGCUGAUGCAGAAUGAAAGGGUGAUUGCUUAUGCUUCUAGAUAGCUGAAGAAGCACGAGUUGAAUUACCCUACACAUGACCUAGAAAUGGCAGCGGUGAUCUUUGCACUCAAGAUGUGGAGGCAUUACCUUUAUGGGGUAAAAUGUGAGAUCUUCACAGAUUAUAAGAGCCUGCAGUACACCUUGAGUCAAAGAGAAUUGAAUCUGAGGCAGAGAAGAUGGGUAGAGCUACUUAGUGACUACGAUUGUAAGAUUCAGUACCAUCCGGGUAAGGCGAAUGUUGUGGCAGACACCUUAAGCCGGAAAUCACUUGGCAGUUUGUCCCAUAUUUCGGCAGAGAGAAGACCAGUGGUGAGGCAGUUCUUCGAGCUCAUUAAUGAAGGUUUGCAGUUGGAGUUGUCUGGUAUAGGUGCUUUGGUAGCUCAGAUGAGAGUAACACCUGUGUUUCUGGAGCAGGUGGCUUAGAAACAGCAUGAGGACCCAGAGUUAGUGAAGAUUGCCAGGACUGUUCAGUCAGGCAAGAAUGCUAAGUUCAGAUUUGACAGCAAAGGGAUCCUCCGCUAUGGGAAUAGAUUGUGUGUGUUAGAUGACGUGGGUCUAAAGGGAGACAUUAUGAGAGAGGCUCAUAGUGCCAGAUACAGUGUUCACCCUAGAGCCACCAAAAUGUAUCAAGAUCUGAAGAGAGUUUAUUGGUGGCCAGCUAUGAAAAGAGAAGUGGCACAGUUCGUGUCAGCCUGCGAAGUAUGUCAGAGGGUGAAGCUGGAACAUCAGAAGCCGGCUGGAAUGCUCAACCCGCUACCUAUUCCAAAGUGAAAAUGGGAGAAUAUAGCUAUGGACUUCGUAGUGGGGUUACCGGCAGCGUUCAACAGAUUGGACUCCAUAUGUGUAAUAGCCCGAAAAUCGGACCGCUACCGGCGCUAGGAUCCAGAUCGGCAUAAGGCCGUCGGGACCCGUAGCAAGCCUAACAUGCAUCCUGUAUACCUGAUUAAUCCCAUACAUGAUCAACAUUUACAUAAAAACUUUAAACUUUCUUUCUUUCAUUUAUCGAGCUUAACCUGUGCAUGCACAACUCAUAAUCAUAAACCCCAACACUAGAGUCCUCAUCAACAACUCUAAUGGGGCAACAUACAUUAAGCUUGGUUUUCAUGUCUCAAUAUAAAACAUACAUAAAGACCAUGUACAGAGGGAUGAACCACACACUAGGGCAAAGCACAACUCUAUCUAUUACAUUACAUUAUCUCAUUUUACAUUUUAAUACAUAUCUUUACAUUACAUCAUGUCCACAACUAUACUAUUACAUAAAAUCAUAACCAUUGCCAUAACCUGCUGACCUCCAGAACUAUCUCUGACCCUGCAAACAUGGGGUUAGGGAAGAGGGGUGAGCUAUAAAGCCCAGUGAGCAGAACUAAAUAGAAAAACAGUUUAUUAUAUCAUAUGCUUUCAUGACAUGCAUCACAUCACAAACAAUACACAUCAAGGAUGAAUUUGUCACCAAUAGCCCUCAACAUAUAAAUGUCAUAUCAUAACAAGUUCAGCAAUGCUCUAUGCUAGGGGCGAUACGGCCACGCCUGGACUUCACAUACUCUAUGCCAGGGGCGAUACGGCCACACCUGGACUUCUCUUACUCUAUGCCAGGGGCGAUACGGCCACGCCUGGUCUUUCCAUCUCAUAUCAUGUCAUACAUGUCAUAUCGUGUCAUACUGAGGGCUAAUGGAUCAUCCAAUAUCCAUCCACAUCAUCAUCAUUGUAUUAUGCAAUGCAAUAUAUUUGUGAACUCUAAUGCAACAACCUAUUACAUAACAUGUUAUUCGUGAUGCAUGAACAUGCUUAAAACAUUUAAUUUCUUUAAUAUUAAAAGAGUUAUGUUCUACUCACCUUUGACUAGCUCUGGACUGACUCUGAAGCAGCUAACACUGCCAAACACCUCGGUUCCUCGGGUCCAAUCCUACACAGGUGGACUCUAGUGAGGUGCCAAACACACUCUAAACAACUCAUAAACAACUCCCCAAAACCCCCUAAAACAUCGCCAAAGCAUGCAUAGAAAAUACCCAAGAAAAGGCUGGACAGGGCACUUUCGGCGGCAGGUUCGGUUGCCAAAAGUCCCUCCAGAGCCGAAACUCAGCUACUUUCGGCGGCACCUUUGGCGGCCGAAAGUCUCUUCCAGAGACGAAACUCAUGCAUGUUCGGCGGCACCUUCGGCGGUCGAAUCUCCCCUCCAGAGCCGAAAGUCCAACUUUCGGGGGCAAGGUUCGGCAGCCAAAAGCUGCCUCCACAGGCAGGUUCGGAGGCCGAAAGUCCCUUCGGCUGCCGAACCUGAGUUCAUCCAGAACUCAGCCUCAUGCAUAAACAAGUCUCCAAACAUCCUAAACAUGCAUUCAACUUCUCAAAAACAUGCAUAAAUCCUUAACCAUGCAUAAAGGAGCUUAACAACUAGAUUAAACUCCAAAAACAACAUCAAAAAGCAUACAUAAAUAGCUUAUGACCCACAUAAGCCAAAACCAUUAAAACAACCCAAAAUCUCACUUGCCCUCUCCCAAUCAUGCAUACACUCUCCCACAUGCAUAUAGGGCAUAAACACUAGUCCAGGCCCCCAACAAUCAGCACAUAAACAUACAUUGGGCACAAAAUCCACAUAAACCUUAACAUGCAUAUCUACCCAUACUCAACCAUUAAAACCUCUUAAAACUUCAUUAAACACAAAGGGAAGCAAGGAUCUACACUUACCUCUUGAAGAUCGAGGGUUGGUGCGAUUCCUAACUCGGAGGUGUGAAGGAUCCAAGCUCCAAAAGCCUCCAAGCUCCAAAACUUCUAUUUAAGCUUCAAAACUUCAAAACAAGGGUAGAACUCAUGAAAACUUGAGGGAUGGGUAGGGAAAGCAUGAAAAUAACCAAAGGAGGACAAAAACUCACCUGAGCUCCAGAAUGGGGAGAAAACUCGCCCAUUUCCGAUCUGAGGGCUCUUUAUAGGCGGCCUGGUCAACGACCUUCGGCAGCCUAACGUGCCCCCUAAACUCAUGCAUGUUUGGCGGCCGAACUUGAGGUUCGGCGGCCGAACCUUGGUUCGUUCAAACAAAGCUUUCGGAGGCCAAAAGCGCCCCCGAAACCUUCCCAUGUUCGGCGGCCGAACUUCACUUUCGGCGGCCGAACCUGGCAAAUGCCUCCUUGGCCUAAUCUUUUAAAAACUCAUUUCUUUUCCAUUAAAAAUCAUAAAAUCGUAUGAAAACAUUUUAGAAACACAUUUUACCCCUCUAGAAGACUCUGGCAUCGUCAGAAUUUCAUAUUCCAAAGGAGAUUCAGCCGGAAGGUAGGGAUUCUAAUGCCGAAAUCUAGUCGGGUAUUAUAAUAUGGGUGAUUGUGGACAGACUGACCAAAUCUGCUCACUUCAUUCCUGUUAAGAGUAACUACUCUGUGGACAAGUUGGCGCAGGUGUAUGUUGAUGAGGUUGUCAGGUUGCAUAGGGUUCCUGUUUCAAUAGUGUCUGAUAGAGGACCCCAGUUCACAUUCAGGUUUUGGUGGAGUCUGCAGAAUGCUAUGGGUACCAGGUUGAAUUUUAGCACUGCUUUCCAUCCACAGACGGAUGGACAGUCAGAGAGGACCAUCCAGACAAUAGAGGAUAUGCUCAGAAUGUGUGUGCUAGAUUUUGGCGGUUCUUGGAGGCAGCAUCUACCUUUGGUGGAGUUUGCUUACAAUAACAGUCAUCAUGCUAGCAUAGGGAUGGCUCCAUAUGAAGCUUUGUAUGGAAGGAAGUGCAGGUCGCCUGUCUGUUGGGAGGAAGUUGGAGAAAGGGCCUUGGCAGGGCCUGAACUAGUAGAGAUCACCAGCAGAGUGGUGCCCAUAAUCAGAGAAAGGAUCAAGACUGUUGCGAGCAGGCAGAAGAGUUAUGCAGAUAUCCGCAGAAGGCAAGUAGAAUUUUAGGAGGGGGAUUUGGUGUUGCUCAAGGUGUCUCCUAUGAAAGGGGUGAUUCGGUUCGGGAAGAAAGGUAAGCUAGCUCCACGAUACAUCGGACCCUUUGAAAUCUUGCAAAAGAUCGGGAAUGUAUCAUAUAAGCUAGAUUUACCUGCUUCAAUGGAGAGAAUCCAUCCGGUUUUCUAUGUUUCCAUGUUAAGAAAGUUCGUGUCAGAUCCGGGCAAGGUUCUUAGUGAGCCUGAUGUGGAGAUCCAAGAAGAUCUCACCUAUGUUGAGCAGCCAGUACGGAUCCUAGACACCCAGAUCAGAAAGUUGAGAAAUAAGGAGAUCCCAAUGGUGAAAGUCCUUUGGAAUCACUACAACAUCGAAGAAUGUACCUAGGAGACACGGGAGUCUAUGCUCCAGCAAUAUCCUCAUCUCUUCUAAGGUUAGUUUUAUGUGUGUUUUAUGUGUAUGAUAUGUUGUAUGCUAUGCAUGAGUUGUUUGGUGAACAUUCGAGGACGAAUGUUCUUAAGGGGGGGAGAAUGUAAUACCCGGCUAGACUUCGGUAUCGGAAUUCCUACCGUCCGGUAGGAUCUCGGAUGUCGGAGACCUCUAGAGGGGUAAAAUCAUGUUUUCAUAAAAUGUUUUAAUGUGUUUUAUGAUUUUAAGUAAGAAAGAAAUUGAAAUUUGAAUGAAAAAGACCAUUGAGGCAUUUCCAGGUUCGGCCGCCGAACCUCAAGUUCGGCUGCCGAACGUGGGAUAGUUUAGGGGGGCAAGUUAGGCUUCCGAAAGUGGCUCAGGUUCGGCCGCCGAAACCCAUGUUUGGCCGCCGAACUUGCAUGAGUUUUGGAGGCACUUUAGGCUGCCGAAGGUGACUUUGCCAGCCCCUAUAUAAGGGCUCCAUGGCCGAAACGGGCGAGUUUUCUCCCCAUUUUCGGCCAACGGUGAGUCCAUGCUCUCCCACGGUAGGUUUUGUUGAUUUUUCUCAAAUCUUUCAAGUUUUAAUGAGUUCUAACUUGGUUUUGAAGAGAUUUGAAGCUUAGAGAAAGUUUUGGAGCUUGGAGGUUCAAAGAGCUAGAUUGUAAUACCCGGCCAUCUAGUGAUGAGGACUUUACAGUCUUUUGUGAUGCGUCCCGUGUGGGAUUGGGUUGUGUACUGAUGCAGAACGAGAGGGUGAUUGCUUAUGCUUCUAGGCAGCUGAAGAAACAUGAGUUGAAUUACCCCACGCAUGACCUUGAGAUGGCAGCAGUAAUCUUUGCACUCAAGAUGUGGAGGCACUACCUCUAUGGGGUAAAAUGUGAGAUCUUCACAGAUCAUAAAAGCCUGCAGUACAUCCUGAGUCAAAGAGAUUUGAAAUUGAGACAGAGGAGAUGGGUAGAGCUGCUGAGUGACUAUGAUUGCAAGAUUCAGUAUCAUCCGGGUAAGGCGAAUGUCGUGGCAGACGCCCUAAGCCGGAAGUCACUAGGCAGUCUAUCCCAUAUCACGGCAGAGAGGAGACCAGUGGUGAAGGAGUUUUACAAGCUCAUUGAUGAAGGUCUACAGAUGGAGUUGUCUGGUACAGGUGCUUUAGUGGCCCAGAUGAGAGUGGCACCCGUGUUUCUGGAGCAGGUGGCUCAGAAACAGCAUGAGGACCCGGAGUUAGUGCAGAUUGCCAGGACUGUUCAGUCAGGCAAAGAUAGUGAGUUCAGAUUCGACAGCAAGGGGAUCCUCCGCUAUGGGAGCAGACUAUGUGUACCAGAUGACAUAGGGCUAAAAGGAGACAUUAUGAGAGAGGCUCAUAAUGCACGAUACAGCGUUCACCCCGGAGCCACCAAGAUGUAUCAAGAUCUGAAGAAGGUUUAUUGGUGGCCAGCGAUGAAGAAAGAAGUGGCACAGUUUGUGUCAGCCUGCGAAGUGUGUCAGAGUGUGAAGCUGGAACAUCAGAAGCAGGCUGGAAUGCUUAACCCGCUACCUAUUCCAGAAUGGAAAUGGGAAAAUAUAGCUAUGGACUUCGUAGUGGGGUUACCGGCGGCGUUUAACAGAGUGGACUCCAUAUGGGUGAUUGUGGACAGACUCACCAAAUCUGCUCACUUCAUUCCUGUCAGGAGUGGCUACUCUGUGGACAAGUUGGCGCAGGUAUAUGUGGAUGAGAUCGUCAGGCUGCAUGGGGUUCCUGUUUCGAUAGUGUCAGAUAGAGGGCCCCAGUUCACCUCCAGAUUUUGGCGGAGUCUGCAGAACGCCAUGGGUACCAGGUUGGAUUUCAGUACUGCCUUCCACCCCCAGACAGACGGACAAUCAGAAAGGACCAUCCAGACCAUACAGGAUAUGCUCAGAAUGUGUGUGUUGGACUUUGGCGGUUCUUGGAGGCAACAUCUACCUUUGGUGGAGUUUGCCUACAAUAACAGCCAUCAUGCUAGCAUCGGGAUGGCUCCAUAUGAAGCUUUAUAUGGAAGGAGGUGCAGAUCUCCUGUUUGCUGGGAAGAGGUUGGAGAAAAGGCCUUGGCAGGGCCUGAGCUAGUAGAGAUUACCAGCAGGGUAGUACCAAUAAUCAGAGAAAGGAUCAAGACUGCUGCAAGUAGACAGAAGAGUUAUGCAGACAUCCGCAGGCGGCAGGUAGAGUUUCAGGAGGGGGAUCUGGUAUUGCUUAAGGUGUCUCCUAUGAAAGGAGUGGUUCGCUUCGGAAAGAAAGGUAAACUAGCCCCACGAUACAUCGGACCCUUCGAAAUCUUGCAAAAGAUUGGGAAUGUGUCGUACAAGCUGGAUUUACCUGCUUCAAUGGAAAGAAUCCAUCCGGUUUUCCAUGUUUCAAUGUUGAUGAAGUUUGUGUCAGAUCCGAGCAAGGUUCUUAGUGAGCCUGAGGUGGAGGUCCAAGAAGAUCUCACCUAUGUUGAACAGCCAGUUCGGAUCAUAGACACCCAGAUCAGAAAGUUAAGGAACAAGGAAAUCCCGAUGGUGAAAGUCCUGUGGAACCACCACAGUUUGGAGGAAUGCACUUGGGAGACACGGGAGUCUAUGCUCCAGCAGUACCCUCAUCUCUUUUAAGGUUAGAUCUCUAUGUGUUUAUGUGCUAUGUAUGUAUGUUAUGUUUUAUGCCAUGUUAUGUGCUAGUUGAGGAACAUUCGGGGAUGAAUGUUCUUAAGGGGGGGAGAUUGUAAUACCCGGCUAGACUCCGGUAUCGGAAUUCCUACCGUCCGGUGGAAACUCGGAUGUCGGAAGCCUCUAGUAGGGUAGAAUCAUGUUUUCAUAAAAUGUUUUAAGGUAUUCCAUGGUUUUAAGUAAAAUGGAAAUGAGUUUUUGCAUAAAAACAACCUUGGAGGAAACCUCAAGUUCGGCCGCCGAACAUGGCAUGCAUGCGGAGGCACAUUCGGCCCCCGAACGUGGCCUGGCCAACCACUAUAAAAGGGUCCCUUAGUCGAAAACGGGCGAGCUUUUCCCCAUUUUCGGCCAAGGUGAGCUUUCCGCCGCCCCUCACCGAUCUUUGAUGUUUUUCCUCUAGAUCUUUCAAGUUUUUCAUUUGUUUUAACUUCGUUUUGAAGAUUUGAGCUUUUGAGCAAAGUUUUGGAGCUUUGAGGUUCAAGAACUCAAAUCUCUCCCAACUCCAAGUUUGGUCGCCUCUACUCUCGAUCUUCAAGAGGUAAGAGUAGAUCUCUAGCUUAUAUUAUGUUUUAAGUAAGUUUUAUGAAGUUCAUGGGGAUAGAAUGCAUGUUUAGGUCAUAGUUAUGUUUAUGGGUAUAAAUGUAUGUUCUUGAACAAUGUGGCUUGUAAUGUGUGUUUGAUGUGUUGUAGUUGGGGUUUAAGGUAGUUUGAGACCCCUAGGAGCUUGAAUGCAUGUUUUGGUUGAGCUAAAUGCAUGUUGGUUUGAGUUUGGAGGCAUUUGUGCAUGUUUGAACCGAGUUUCUGCCCUUUUGGGAGAAACCAGGUUCGGCAGCCGAAGGGACUUUCGGCUGCCGAACCCUCUUGUGGAGGCAGCCUUCGGCUGCCGAAGCUUGCCCCCGAAAGGAGACCUUCGUCUCUGUCUGGGAGUUUCGGCCGCCGAAAGUGCCGCUGAACAUGCAUGAGUUUCGCCUCUGUCUGGGAGUUUCGGCCGCCGAAGGUGCCGCCGAACCUGCUUGACUUUCGGCUCUGGAGGGACUUUCGGCCGCCGAACCUGCCGCCGAAAGUGCCCUGUUCAGCCAUUUCUUGCAUGUUUUUCUAUGAUUGUUUCAUGAUGUUUUAGGGGGUUCUUGGGGAGUAGUUUAGAGUUAUGUUCUUGUUUGUUUGGUCCCUCAUUUGAGUCCACCUGUGUAGGUUCGGACCCGAGGAACCGAGGACCCCAGCAGUGAGUUAGCUGCUCCAGUGUCUGGUCAGAGCUACCCAGAGGUGAGUGGAAUAACUUAUUAUGUUUUUAAGUAAAUAAUGGACUUUUCAGCAUGUUUCAUGCAUCACGAAUGCCAUGUGAUGAAUUAGGUUGCUUGCAUUAGAAUUCACGAAUAUGUUGCAUUGCAUAUUUUAAAUGUUGAUGUGGAUGAAUGUUGGAUGAUCCAUAGCCCUCGAUCUACGAUGUGAUGAUGUACGGUACGGAAUGUAAGACCAGUGGGACCCAUUCUACGUUCGCUGGCACUAUGUAAGGGAAAGACCAGGACCCAUUCUACGUUCUGGCACAGUUGGACCAUGUAGAGGGCUAUUGGUGACAAGUUCAUCCUUGAUUGUGAUUAGCUGUGAUGUGAUGCAUUCCAUGAUCCAUAUGAUUUAAAUGUUUUUUUUUAUCAUUCUGCUCACUGGGCUCUAGUAGCUCACCCCUCUCCCAAUUUCCCCAGGAUUGCAGGUACAGGGUAGACCAGGAGGUUUACAAGAGUAUUGAAGUUUCGUAUUUGUAAUAGAUAGUGUGGACAUGAUAAAUGUAUUAAUGUUAUGUAAAAGUACAGUUUUAAGUAUGUAAUGACUUUGAGGACUAGAGGUUGUGCUUGACUAUAUGUUUAAGAUAUCCCUUUCAAUACAUGAUCUUAUAUGUUUUAUGAUGAGUAUGCAAACCAACUCAACGUAUGAUGUAUCGCCCAUUGGGGCAUUGAUGAGAUCCCACAGAGGGAUUAUGAUUAUGGUUAUGUUAUGUUCAGUGCAUGCACAGGUUGAGUUUGGUUGAUGUAUAUGGAAAGAAAAGUUUUAAUUUUUAUGCAUGUUGUUGAUCAUGUAUGGGAUUGUACAGGUUUACAGGUUUUAUGUUAGGCUUGCUACGGGUCCCGGCGGCCUUAAGCCGACCUGGAUCCUAGCGCCGGUAGCGGUCCAAUUUUCGGGUCGUUACAUAGAUCUCUCCCAUCUCCGAGUUGGAUCGCCUUUCCUCUCGAUCUUCAAGAGGUAAGAGUAGAUCCUUAGCUCAUUUCAUGUUUUAAACAAGUUUUAUGAAAGUUUAUGAGGUAGAAAUGCAUGUUAGGUUAAUAUUGAGUUUUUGGGUUAAUGUUGAGUUUUUUAGCAAUGUAUGUUGUAUAUGCAUGUUUGAUGUGUUGUAGUUGGGGUUUAGGAUAGUUUGAGGCCCCUAUGAGCUUAUGAAAGUAUGUAGGCAUGUUUUGGAAGUGUUGGUUUUGAGUUGAAUGGUUUGGGAGGCUAAAUGUGCAUUGUGGAGGCUGAGUUCUGUCCUUUGAAAGAAAUUAGGUUCGGCAGCCGAAGGGACUUUCGGCCGCCGAACUUGCCUGUGGAGGCCAGCCUUUGGCUGCCGAACCCUGCCCCGAAAGUGGACUUUCGGCUCUGGAAGGGAGUUUCGGCCGCCGAAGGUGCCGCCGAACAUGCAUGAGUUUCAUUUCUGGAAGGAACCUUCGGCCGCCGAAAGUGCCGCCAAAGGUGCAUGACUUUCGUCUCUGGAGGGACUUUCGGCCGCCGAACCUGCCGCCGAAAGUGCCCUGUUCAGCCUUCCUUUGCAUGAUUUCUAUGAUUGUUUUAAGGUGUUUUAGGGGAUUUUUGGGGAGUAUUUUAGAGUCAUGUUCAUGUAUAUUUGGUCCCUCAUUUGAGUCCACCUGUGUAGGUUCAGACCCGAGGAACUGAGGACCCCAGCAGUGAGACAGCUGCUUCAGUGUCUUGUCAAAGCUAGCCUGAGGUGAGUGGAAUAACUCUUUAUGUUUCAAAGUAAAUAAAUCAGAUUUUGAGCAUGUUCGUGCAUCAUGAAUGCCAUAAGAUAAAUUAGGUUGUUUGCAUUAGAAUUCACGAAUAUGUUGCAUUGCAUAAUGUGAUGAUGAUGUGGAUGGGUAUUGGAUGAUCCUUUAGUCCUCGUAUGAUAUGAUAUGAUGUGUUAUGAUAUGGUAUGGUAUGGAAGUCCAGGUCGAGGCCCAUUCUACGCCCCUGGCACUAUGUUAAGAGAAAGACCAGGUCGAGGCCCAUUCUAC
rnacentral:lncRNA from 1 species